rnacentral:pre_miRNA from 1 species
GAUUUACUCCCUCCGUCUGAAAAUACUCGUCAUCAAAAUGGAUAAAAAAGGACGUAUCUAGAACUAAAAUACGUCUAGAUACAUCUCCUUUUAUUCAUUUUGAUGCCAAGUAUUUCCGGACGGAGGGAGUACUAU